GACGAACGCUGGCGGCGUGCUUAACACAUGCAAGUCGAACGGAAAGGCCCUGCUUUUGUGGGGUGCUCGAGUGGCGAACGGGUGAGUAACACGUGAGUAACCUGCCCUUGACUUUGGGAUAACUUCAGGAAACUGGGGCUAAUACCGGAUAGGAGCUCCUGCUGCAUGGUGGGGGUUGGAAAGUUUCGGCGGUUGGGGAUGGACUCGCGGCUUAUCAGCUUGUUGGUGGGGUAGUGGCUUACCAAGGCUUUGACGGGUAGCCGGCCUGAGAGGGUGACCGGCCACAUUGGGACUGAGAUACGGCCCAGACUCCUACGGGAGGCAGCAGUGGAGAAUAUUGCACAAUGGGCGGAAGCCUGAUGCAGCAACGCCGCGUGCGGGAUGACGGCCUUCGGGUUGUAAACCGCUUUCGCCUGUGACGAAGCGUGAGUGACGGUAAUGGGUAAAGAAGCACCGGCCAACUACGUG
rnacentral:rRNA from 1 species